AGUUUGAUCAUGGCUCAGAGUGAACGCUGGCGGCAGGCCUAAUACAUGCAAGUCGAACGGCAGCACAGCAGAGCUUGCUCUGUGGGUGGCGAGUGGCGGACGGGUGAGGAAUACAUGGGAAUCUGCCCAGUCGUGGGGAUAACGUAGGGAAACUUACGCUAAUACCGCAUGCGCCCUUCGGGGGAAAGCCGGGGACCUUCGGGCCUGGCGCGAUUGGAUGAGCCCAUGUCGGAUUAGCUAGUUGGCGGGGUAAUGGCCCACCAAGGCGACGAUCCGUAGCUGGUCUGAGAGGAUGAUCAGCCACACUGGAACUGAGACACGGUCCAGACUCCUACGGGAGGCAGCAGUAGGGAAUAUUGGACAAUGGGCGCAAGCCUGAUCCAGCCAUGCCGCGUGAGUGAAGAAGGCCCUCGGGUUGUAAAGCUCUUUUGUCCGGAAAGAAAAGCGCCGGGUUAAUACCCUGGUGUCCUGACGGUACCGGAAGAAUAAGCACCGGCUAACUUCGUG
rnacentral:rRNA from 1 species